rnacentral:rRNA from 1 species
GAUAAACGCUGGCGGCGUGCAUAACACAUGCAAGUCGAACGAAGUGGCGAACGGGUGAGUAACACGUGAGUAACCUGCCUUACACAAGGGGAUAGCCUUUGGAAACGAAGAAUAAUACCCUAUAGUGUAAGAUGGACUUGCGUCUGAUUAGCUAGUUGGUGAGAUAAAAGCUCACCAAGGCGACGAGCAGUAGCCGGCUUGAGAGAGUGUACGGCCACAUUGGGACGGAGACACGGCCCAAACUCCGACGGGAGGAAGCAGUGGGGAAUUUUGCACAAUGGGGGAAACCCGGAUGCAGCGACGCCGCGUGGGGGAUGAAGGCUUUCGGGUUGUAAACCUCUUUCGCUAUCGAACGGGUAGGUGGAGAAGAAGCGCCGGCUAACUACGUGCCAGCCGCCGCGGUAAUAC